AGUGAACGCUGGCGGUAGGCCUAACACAUGCAAGUCGAACGGCAGCACAGUAAGAGCUUGCUCUUACGGGUGGCGAGUGGCGGACGGGUGAGGAAUACAUCGGAAUCUACUUUUUCGUGGGGGAUAACGUAGGGAAACUUACGCUAAUACCGCAUACGAUCUACGGGUGAAAGCAGGGGAUCUUCGGACCUUGCGCGAUUGAAUGAGCCGAUGUCGGAUUAGCUAGUUGGCAGGGUAAAGGCCCACCAAGGCGACGAUCCGUAGCUGGUCUGAGAGGAUGAUCAGCCACACUGGAACUGAGACACGGUCCAGACUCCUACGGGAGGCAGCAGUGGGGAAUAUUGGACAAUGGGCGCAAGCCUGAUCCAGCCAUACCGCGUGGGUGAAGAAGGCCUUCGGGUUGUAAAGCCCUUUUGUUGGGAAAGAAAAGCAGCAGGUUAAUACCCCGCUGUUCUGACGGUACCCAAAGAAUAAGCACCGGCUAACUUCGUG
rnacentral:rRNA from 1 species